CUCUUGCUUCACAUAAGAGGUCCAGCCUGCCCAGUGAAAUUUUAACGGCCGCGGUACCCUGACCGUGCGAAGGUAGCAUAAUCACUCGUUCUCUAAAUAGGGACUUGUAUCAAUGGCAUCACGAGGAUCAUACUGUCUCCUCUCUCCAAUCAGUGAACCUAAUCUCCCCGUGAAGAAGCGGGGUUACACCCAUAAGACGAGAAGACCCCAUGGAGCUUUAAACCUUAAAGCAAUUUAAAUAAAAUAUUCCCACAUAUACUUUAGAUAUGCAUGAAAGUUUUGGGUUGGGGUGACCGCGGAGCAAAAACAAACCUCCACAACGAAAAGAACUAAAUCUUUAUCUAAGAACUACUAUUCUAAGAAUCAACACACUGACGAAUACUGAUCCGAUAAUCGAUCAAUGAACCAAGUUACCCUGGGGAUAACAGCGCAAUCUACUUCGAGAGCUCAUAUCGACAAGUAGGCUUACGACCUCGAUGUUGGAUCAGGGUAUCCCAGUGGUGCAGCCGCUACUAAUGGUUCGUUUGUUCAACGAUUAAACCCC
rnacentral:rRNA from 1 species